rnacentral:rRNA from 1 species
GACGAACGCUGGCGGCGUGCCUAAUACAUGCAAGUUGAGCGAUGAAGAUUGGUGCUUGCACCAAUUUGAAGAGCAGCGAACGGGUGAGUAACGCGUGGGGAAUCUGCCUUUGAGCGGGGGACAACAUUUGGAAACGAAUGCUAAUACCGCAUAACAACUUUAAACAUAAGUUUUAAGUUUGAAAGAUGCAAUUGCAUCACUCAAAGAUGAUCCCGCGUUGUAUUAGCUAGUUGGUGAGGUAAAGGCUCACCAAGGCGAUGAUACAUAGCCGACCUGAGAGGGUGAUCGGCCACAGUGGGACGGAGACACGGCCCAAACUCCUACGGGAGGCAGCAGUAGGGAAUCUUCGGCAAUGGACGAAAGUCUGACCGAGCAACGCCGCGUGAGUGAAGAAGGUUUUCGGAUCGUAAAACUCUGUUGGUAGAGAAGAACGUUGGUGAGAGUGGAAAGCUCAUCAAGUGACGGUAACUACCCAGAAAGGGACGGCUAACUACGUG